rnacentral:rRNA from 1 species
UACGUAGGGUGCAAGCGUUAAUCGGAAUUACUGGGCGUAAAGCGUGCGCAGGCGGUGAUGUAAGACAGGUGUGAAAUCCCCGGGCUUAACUUGGGAAUUGCGCUUGUGACUGGCGAGCUGGAGUGUGGCAGAGGGAGGUGGAAUUCCACGUGUAGCAGUGAAAUGCGUAGAGAUGUGGAGGAACACCGAUGGCGAAGGCAGCCUCCUGGGCCAGCACUGACGCUCAUGCACGAAAGCGUGGGGAGCAAACAGG